rnacentral:piRNA from 1 species
UUACCAUGCCUAACUUGUGACAAUGUGUC